rnacentral:rRNA from 1 species
AUUGAACGCUGGCGGCAGGCCUAACACAUGCAAGUCGAGCGAGCGGCGGACGGGUGAGUACUGUAUGGGGACUGCCCGAUAGAGGGGGAUAACUACGGGAAACGGUAGCUAAUACCGCAUACUAUCGGAUAACCCAUAUGGGAUUAGCUAGUAGGGGAGGUAAUGGCUCACAUAGGCGACGAUCCCUAGCUGGUCUGAGAGGCUGAUCAGACACACUGGGACUGAGACACGGCCCAGACUCCAAGGGAGGCAGCAGUGGGGAAUCUUGCACAAUGGGCGAAAGCCUGAUGCAGCAAUGCCGCGUGAAUGAAGAAGGCCCUAGGGUUGUAAAGCACUUUCAGUCGGGAGGCGUUACCGACAGAAGAAGCACCGGCUAACUCCGUGCCAGCCGCCGCGGUAAUUC